rnacentral:misc_RNA from 1 species
GUUCGAGAAAAUCCACAGGCCACACUGAUACCAUGCAGGGUUUUCUCCCGAAACCGCCCCCAGUAUCCUCCUUUCCUCUCCCACAAAACCCACCUAUAUAUUCCUUCCAUUUCCUCUGCUCCUCACAUCAAGCACAAACAAACAGAGCCCAUUUCUUUUCUUUAUUCCCCUCUCUUAGUCUUCUGCUUUCUCGUUGAAGUAUUCAAAACAGUAACCAAAACAGAAAAAAAUUCUCCUUCUCAUGGACACCAAAAUUGGAUCUAUUGACACCUGCAAGCCCACCAACAGCGACAUGUGCAGCCCAGCAAACGGUGCCGUCUCCACCAUCCAAAAUUCAGUCUCCCCCGCCGUGAUCAACUCUACGGAAUCCACUCUCGGUCGCCAUCUUGCUCGUCGGCUUGUCCAAAUCGGCAUCACUGAUGUUUUCUCUGUUCCCGGUGACUUCAACCUUACUCUUCUGGACCAUCUCAUAGCAGAGCCUGGGCUUAACCUCAUUGGCUGUUGUAACGAGCUCAAUGCUGGAUACGCUGCCGACGGUUACGCACGGUGUCGUGGAGUUGGCGCUUGUGUUGUUACGUUUACUGUGGGUGGACUUAGUGUUCUCAAUGCAAUCGCUGGUGCUUACAGUGAAAAUCUGCCUGUGAUAUGCAUUGUUGGAGGGCCUAACUCCAAUGAUUAUGGGACUAACAGGAUUCUGCACCAUACCAUUGGGUUGCCUGAUUUCAGCCAGGAGCUACGGUGUUUCCAGACUGUUACCUGCUUCCAGGCUGUGGUGAAUAACUUGGAAGAUGCUCAUGAGCUGAUCGAUACUGCUAUAUCGACUGCUUUGAAAGAAAGCAAGCCUGUUUAUCUCAGUAUUAGCUGUAACUUGCCUGCGAUCCCUCAUCCUACCUUUAGCCGGGAUCCAGUUCCAUUUUCACUCUCUCCCAGAUUAAGCAACAAAUUGGGUUUGGAGGCUGCGGUUGAAGCAGCGGCGGAUUUCUUGAACAAAGCAGUGAAACCAGUUCUGGUGGGUGGGCCUAAACUUAGGGUUGCACAGGCAUGUGAUUCCUUUGUUGAAUUAGCUGAUGCUAGUGGUUAUGCCCUGGCCGUGAUGCCAUCAGCUAAAGGGCUCGUGCCAGAAUUUCAUCCCCACUUCAUUGGAACUUACUGGGGUGCUGUGAGCACUGCCUUCUGUGCUGAGAUUGUGGAAUCCGCUGAUGCUUACUUGUUUGCUGGACCCAUUUUCAAUGACUAUAGCUCUGUUGGAUACUCCCUCCUUCUCAAGAAAGAGAAGGCAAUUAUUGUGCAGCCUGAUCGAGUGGUGAUUGCAAAUGGACCUGCAUUUGGAUGUAUUCGGAUGAAAGAUUUUCUCCUGUCCCUUGCGAAGAGGAUCAAGGCCAAUACUACUGCAUAUGAAAACUACCGCAGAAUUUUUGUUCCCGAGGGACAUCCAUUGAAAAGUGAACCUAAAGAACCACUGAGGGUUAAUGUCCUCUUCCAACAUAUACAGAAAUUGCUGUCUAGUGAAACUGCUGUGAUUGCUGAGACAGGGGACUCGUGGUUUAACUGCCAGAAGCUGAAAUUGCCAAGGGGAUGCGGGUAUGAGUUCCAAAUGCAAUAUGGGUCAAUUGGUUGGUCUGUAGGGGCAACUCUUGGAUAUGCACAGGCUGUGCCAGAGAAACGCGUGAUUGCUUGUAUUGGUGAUGGUAGCUUUCAGGUGACUGCUCAAGAUGUGUCAACAAUGCUGCGAUGCGGACAGAAGUCCAUCAUUUUCCUAAUCAACAAUGGUGGAUAUACCAUUGAAGUUGAGAUCCAUGAUGGCCCGUACAAUGUGAUCAAGAACUGGAACUAUACUGGCUUGAUUGACGCAAUGCACAAUGGUGAAGGCAAUUGCUGGACAGCCAAGGUUAGUUUGGGAACUUGGUUCAUCGUUUUUUUUCUCUAUUUCCAUCAAUGCAUGAAUGCUAAUGGUUUUAAAUGCAAAAUUCUGGUACUAUUUUCUAAUUCUAUCAUUGCAGGUCCAUUGUGAGGAAGAGCUAGUUGAAGCAAUUGAUAAUGCAACUGGACCAAAGAAAGAUUGCUUGUGCUUCAUUGAGGUGAUUGUUCACAAGGAUGAUACUAGCAAAGAACUCUUGGAAUGGGGCUCCAGGGUCUCUGCUGCCAAUAGCCGACCACCAAAUCCUCAGUAGAAUUUAAUUCCACCGUCCAUGUUCCUUUAGAGGGAGAUUUUUUGAGUUUGUGGUGCUUAAUCAGUCUUGCGUAUUCUGAAAUAUCUUGGUUAAUGCUUUCAGUUUGAUGUUCUCCGGACUCUUAAAUCUUAUUUUCUGAUGUGAAUGAGACCCACUCCUGUGAGUGAUCAAAUUUAUCACAUUAAAGAGUGUCCAAUGCAUUAAAAUGACAUGAAUGAAAAUGAACCUUGUGGAAAAUUCCAUUAUGGGCCUCUGGAAAGUGCAAAUAUUCUUCCAAAACCCUACUGUGUUAAUUAUUUAGAGUUUUACGUGUGGGCCUCAGAUGACUAGUGGCUUCUGGAAGUCAUGGUCCUUUCAUCCUUUGGCCAAUUUCCGAAUUUGUGGUGGUAAUCUAUCCGAGGAAUAAAAAUAUCGUGCCAGAAGUUUGGAUUUUGAGUUGAUGGUAGACCCAUUCUGCACGGUAGCAACAACUCUUUUUCAAUUCAUAAAUUUCAUCCAAUCUAGACUGCACUGGAAAACAUUUUGUCAAUUGAUAUGCAUUCCUUUGAAUUUUCUCCAGUCAAGACAAGUGGGCAUCUAUUAAACCAACUCAUGUUUUGGAUGCUAGCUUCUCCCACGUGGAAAUGUAUCCUAGG